rnacentral:tRNA from 1 species
GCGGACGUGGCGAAAUCGGUAGACGCAGGGGACUUAAAAUCCCCCGGUUCAUCCGUGCGGGUUCGAGUCCCGCCGUCCGCACCA